ACAUACGACCAUAGGGUGUGGAAAACAGGGCUUCCCGUCCGCUCAGCCGUACUUAAGCCACACGCCGGUGAGUUAGUAGUUGGGUGGGUGACCACCAGCGAAUCCUCACUGUCGUAUGUUU
rnacentral:rRNA from 1 species